UUUAGUAGCUAAUUGCAAGUCAGGAUUACCAAAUUAAGUGAAUGUGUAUAACAAUGUACAAAUAUGAUGUUUGCACCAAAAAAAUCUCCUUUAUUCUUGUUUGCACUCUAUUCAA